rnacentral:rRNA from 1 species
UACGAAGGGGGCUAGCGUUGCUCGGAAUCACUGGGCGUAAAGCGCACGUAGGCGGAUCGUUAAGUCAGGGGUGAAAUCCUGGAGCUCAACUCCAGAACUGCCUUUGAUACUGGCGACUGUAGUUCGGGAGAGGUGAGUGGAACUGCGAGUGUAGAGGUGAAAUUCGUAGAUAUUCGCAAGAACACCAGUGGCGAAGGCGGCUCACUGGCCCGAUACUGACGCUGA